rnacentral:rRNA from 1 species
CGAAGAGUUUGAUCCUGGCUCAGGAUGAACGCUAGCGACAGGCUUAACACAUGCAAGUCGAGGGGCAGCGGGGGUAGCAAUACCCGCCGGCGACCGGCGCACGGGUGAGUAACGCGUAUGCAACUUACCUAUCAGAGGGGGAUAACCCGGCGAAAGUCGGACUAAUACCGCAUGAAGCAGGGAUCCCGCAUGGGAAUAUUUGCUAAAGAUUCAUCGCUGAUAGAUAGGCAUGCGUUCCAUUAGGCAGUUGGCGGGGUAACGGCCCACCAAACCGACGAUGGAUAGGGGUUCUGAGAGGAAGGUCCCCCACAUUGGUACUGAGACACGGACCAAACUCCUACGGGAGGCAGCAGUGAGGAAUAUUGGUCAAUGGCCGAGAGGCUGAACCAGCCAAGUCGCGUGAGGGAUGAAGGUUCUAUGGAUCGUAAACCUCUUUUAUAAGGGAAUAAAGUGCGGGACGUGUCCCGUUUUGUAUGUACCUUAUGAAUAAGGAUCGGCUAACUCCGUGCCAGCAGCCGCGGUAAUACGGAGGAUCCGAGCGUUAUCCGGAUUUAUUGGGUUUAAAGGGUGCGUAGGCGGCCUUUUAAGUCAGCGGUGAAAGUCUGUGGCUCAACCAUAGAAUUGCCGUUGAAACUGGGGGGCUUGAGUAUGUUUGAGGCAGGCGGAAUGCGUGGUGUAGCGGUGAAAUGCUUAGAUAUCACGCAGAACCCCGAUUGCGAAGGCAGCCUGCCAAGCCAUGACUGACGCUGAUGCACGAAAGCGUGGGGAUCAAACAGGAUUAGAUACCCUGGUAGUCCACGCAGUAAACGAUGAUCACUAGCUGUUUGCGAUACACUGUAAGCGGCACAGCGAAAGCGUUAAGUGAUCCACCUGGGGAGUACGCCGGCAACGGUGAAACUCAAAGGAAUUGACGGGGGCCCGCACAAGCGGAGGAACAUGUGGUUUAAUUCGAUGAUACGCGAGGAACCUUACCCGGGUUUGAACGCAUUCGGACCGAGGUGGAAACACCUUUUCUAGCAAUAGCCGUUUGCGAGGUGCUGCAUGGUUGUCGUCAGCUCGUGCCGUGAGGUGUCGGCUUAAGUGCCAUAACGAGCGCAACCCUUGCCACUAGUUACUAACAGGUAAAGCUGAGGACUCUGGUGGGACUGCCAGCGUAAGCUGCGAGGAAGGCGGGGAUGACGUCAAAUCAGCACGGCCCUUACAUCCGGGGCGACACACGUGUUACAAUGGCGUGGACAAAGGGAAGCCACCUGGCGACAGGGAGCGAAUCCCCAAACCACGUCUCAGUUCGGAUCGGAGUCUGCAACCCGACUCCGUGAAGCUGGAUUCGCUAGUAAUCGCGCAUCAGCCAUGGCGCGGUGAAUACGUUCCCGGGCCUUGUACACACCGCCCGUCAAGCCAUGGGAGCCGGGGGUACCUGAAGUCCGUAACCGCGAGGAUCGGCCUAGGGUAAAACUGGUGACUGGGGCUAAGUCGUAACAAGGUAGCCGUACCGGAAGGUGCGGCUGGAACACCUCCUUU